rnacentral:rRNA from 1 species
CAGCCGCCGCGGGAAUACGUAGGUGGCAAGCGUUGUCCGGAAUUAUUGGGCGUAAAGCGCGCGCAGGCGGAUCAGUUAGUCUGUCUUAAAAGUUCGGGGCUUAACCCCGUGAUGGGAUGGAAACUGCUGAUCUAGAGUAUCGGAGAGGAAAGUGGAAUUCCUAGUGUAGCGGUGAAAUGCGUAGAUAUUAGGAAGAACACCAGUGGCGAAGGCGACUUUCUGGACGAAAACUGACGCUGAGGCGCGAAAGCCAGGGGAGCGAACGGGAUUAGAUACCCGAGUAGUCCCUGUCUCUUAUACA